rnacentral:rRNA from 1 species
UACAGGGGGGGCAAGCGUUGUUCGGAAUUACUGGGCGUAAAGGGCUCGUAGGCGGCCAACUAAGUCCGACGUGAAAUCCCAAAGCUUAACUUUGGAACUGCGUCGGAUACUGGAUGGCUUGAAUUCGGGAGAGGGAUGCAGAAUUCCAGGUGUAGCGGUGAAAUGCGUAGAUAUCUGGAGGAACACCGGUGGCGAAGGCGGCAUCCUGGACCGGUAUUGACGCUGAGGCGCGAAAGCUAGGGGAGCAAACGGG